rnacentral:tRNA from 1 species
GCUGCUGUAACCCAAUUGGAAGAGGUGCUGGUCUUAGAAACCAGUUGUUGUGGGUUCGACUCCCACCAGCAGUA